GGAAGCAUGGCCGAGUGGUCGAUGGCGGCACACUGCUAACGUGCUGAACCGCAUGGUUCCGGAGGUUCGAAUCCUCCUGCUUCCG
rnacentral:tRNA from 1 species